ACGUAGGUGGCAAGCGUUAUCCGGAUUUAUUGGGUGUAAAGGGUGUGUAGGCGGGACUGCAAGUCAGACGUGAAAAUCAUGGGCUCAACCCAUGACUUGCGUUUGAAACUGCGGUUCUUGAGAGUGGGAGAGGUAAACGGAAUUCCUGGUGUAGCGGUGAAAUGCGUAGAUAUCAGGAGGAACACCGGUGGCGAAGGCGGUUUACUGGACCACAACUGACGCUGAGACACGAAAGCGUGGGGAGCAAACAG
rnacentral:rRNA from 1 species